UGUCUGAACACAUAGAACCCACUCUCAUAGGGUCAGCAUAUCACAAGUCAGCCUUGGUUCAACACAUUUCUCAUCAAGAAAUGUAAAACAGGAUCAUGCAUAACAAGGGAUAAAUCAUACACUAGGACACAGCACAACUCUAUCUAUUACAUGAUAUUAUAUCGCUAUACAUGACAUUACAUUACAGACUAGUUCUUUAAUUUACAUCAUGUCUACUACUUUAUUACAUAGC
rnacentral:lncRNA from 1 species